UAAUUCGCUGGUCAAAUAAAAAACGCAUAUUAAAAACAAGACAAAUACGUUAAUUUCGGCAGCAGCGAGGCUAUACUACUGUGAUCAAAUUGAAAGGUGAAUUUUUAAUUUAUGCUUCACGUGUUUUUUGAAUCGGUCAAUUCUUUUUCUGUUAGUUAGUAGUACUAGUUAGUAGUACAUCUAUGCUAAAUUUUACGUCAAAAUAUUCAUUAAUAUUUGAGAUACGCGUCGUUUUGUGAAGCUGUAAAUGUCAAUUCUUCGAUGUUAAUGUGUCUGAAUUUAUUAAAAAAAGAAGUGCGAUAAUGCACCAUCUUAUAUUGCAUUGGUUAUUCGUGAUCAAUUCGCCACUUUUUCAACUCAUACCGCAACCACCGCAUUCACCUGAUUUACCUUCGUGUAACUUUUGGCAAUUUAGCAAAUUCACAUGACCACUCCGAGUACACCGUUUUGACUCAAUUGAGGAUAUACAGGCAUGUUCUGGAAAUCGCACGAUUUAAAUUCGGCACCGAAUUUGCAAAUUAUCCCAGAUUCCGUUUUUGUUGCCCAUUACAGGAUAAGUAAAGAAGUGUUUAAAGGAAUUGUUCGCGAUGUCCAACCACUAAUAAAUCCGUCAUCUAUUAUGGUGAAAAUAAAGCUUGCUACUACUUUGAGGUACCUUGCAGAGGAAGGAUUUCAGCGCUCGGUAAGAAAAGACACCGACGUAUCCCUUGCAAGAAGUACCGUGUGCAAAGUCUUACAUGAGAAAGAAAAAGCACUCUGUCUAAAAUGAAUUCAACUGUAAAUGAGCGAAGAAGAAAUUAAAAUGUCGAAAGCACAUUUUUUCAACAAUUUUAGAAUUCUCGGAAUAAUCGGUUGUGUAAACGGGACACACAUAAAAAUUAUGAAGCCCCACCAAAAUGAGCAUUUGUAUUUUAACAGAAAGGGUUAUUUCAGCGUUAAUACGAUGAAUAUUUGCGAUUACAGAAUGCGUAUAACGGCUGUGGAAGCAUGCCACCCUGGCUCCAGUCAUGACGCCUUCAUAUUUUCUUUAAGUGGUGCCAAACAAUAUCUUUCAUCCAAUUAUGUGGGAGAAAACCAUAGAUCUUGGCUACUAGGAGAUUCAGGAUAUGGCUUGGAACCAUAUUUACUUACCCCUUAUAGUGAUGCAAACGCUGGGUCACCACAGCACAAAUUCAAUUUACAACACUCCAAGGCAAGAAAUAUCGCUGAGAAAGUAAUCGGAGUCCUCAAGAGACGCUUUAAAUAACUUCAAACAACUUUGCCAUAUAUCCCAGAGAAUGUUGUAAAAAUUAUAAAUGUAUGCAGUGCUUUGCACAACAUUUGUUGCCAUUAUAACCUGAAUGCCUUUGCUUUAGAUGUAGUCGACGAUUUUCUGGGCGAAGAAGUUGCUGAUUAUAGCAGCCAUCUACAAACUGCCGCUGUAUCCAUUCGAGAUUUUGAU